UGUAUUGUUGGCGUUUCAUUCAGUAGCAGCUUCCCUUGUUAGCUCCUCUUCGCGAGAUGUCAAUGCCCAGUACUAGUGAAUGUGUUCCCGGUGGGUGUAUCGUAAGUGGUCGAGUGCCUCUGAUAUCUCUCUAUCUAUCGAAGCACGUAAAGACCCAAAUGUCAUAAUCACGGGGCGAGCAAUAUGGAACGGAAGAUCCGGGACAUCUAUAGCAGUGAAUAUCGAUGGCGUUUAUCAGAGAGCGAACGGGUUUUUUGCAAGUUACUUUGAUCCCACUCGGGCACGAAUUCAAGUAGGCUGGGGUUUUACAGAUAAGGACUGAGGCUUCGUUUAGCCCAUCUAAUAGUCUCUGCUCGGAGUUCUAAAAAGUUGAAUAGCCAUAGUGAGCGGAUUCGCCAGUGGAGUAAGCAGAGGAGGCAUAUACAGUGGUAAGAAAGGCGGUUUACCUCACAGAAUGGGACCCAAUCUCAGUUUAACCCGCAACUCUCGCACCGGAACAAAGUUGCUUUCGUGGGAUCAACUACUCUUGCAGUCUGCCUGUUUACAACAGAAGCAACAACCAUCAAAAUAAGCAUGUUAGUAUGCAAGUGCACUUCACAGGCAUUAUAGAGGAAGAAGCCGGAAAGCAAGUCAGGUGCACCUGUAUGAAGAGAAAAUGAGGUUGAAGCUGGUUUAUUGGUAGAGGAGCGUUUGAUAUCACCUUGUACUUGCAGCGGAACACGAGCUUAUGUACAUCUGAAAUGUUUGAGAAGGUGGCAGAAUGUUGUCUUGACGUCGACGAGACUUGGAGCCAGUCGUACAGCUGCUAUAAUUUUGGAAAAAAACGGAAGCACGCAUCUUCUUCAGGAGCAGCAAAUAGCACUGGAACUGGUAUUACUCCUGGUCCUUCAGCGAAUUCAGUGCCUUCAACACCAUCAGCCCACACACCUGGAGAUAUGAUGUCCAUGGCUAGCACCUUAUAGCAGAGCAACAGUGCAUCCAAGAAUUUAAUGAUGCAUGGAUCUGAUGGGACAGGUGGACUUGCUUCGCCAUCAAAUCAGAUGGUAGAUAUGCAUUUUGAGGACUGUACCCUUGAUGAAAACAUAGAAUCAUAUUUUUAGCCUGAUGAAGGAGAAAAAAGAGGAGUCUCAGAUACAAUGAAGAAUCAUAUGACUAGUUCAAAGGGGUUUUCUUUCAAGGAAGUAGGUAACUUACUUCCAAGCACAAAUAAAGUCGUUUGCUGUCAUUUCUCACCAGAUGGCAAGUGGCUGGCAAGUGCUGGGCAUGAUAAGAAGGUUGUUUUAUGGAAUGUGGAGACCAUGAAGCUUAAAAGCGCAUUUACAGAACACAAUCAUUUUAUUACUGAUGUUAGGUUCAGCCCGAAUCCAAAUUGUCAUUUUGUUAUAAAAUGUUCAAAAUUCAUUGUCA